CGAACUUCUGCAAGAACCGGACUCCGUCCGAACUUCUACAGCGGAUGGAUUCCAGACGAACUUCUACAAUGGAUGGGCUCUAGCAGCCAAAUUUCUACAGUGACCGACUGUCUCCGGUGUCUUCCAUACCUCUCCAGCCAUCAACCUUUAGCAGCGCCAACCAGACUUCAACAGUGCCAACCAGACCCCUCCAACGGAUAAAUUCCCUCCGGACCCCUCCAACGGUCGACCUUCUACAAUGUCCUCUAGACUCCUCCAGCGGACGAACUUUCACAACGCCUUUCGGACUCUUCUUUCAGUCA
rnacentral:lncRNA from 1 species